GUUCUGGUCGAUGUUUACACAUAGCAAGAAAGGGGUUCCUUCUUUUGAACCCUAAACUCACUAUUUGAUCAAAAUCAGAGGGAAAACAAGCUAGGAAUUUGGGGCUUUUACUAAAUUCGCGAUCACCAAGACAAGGGGGUUGUAAGUUUGAUCCCGUCAAGCUAAGUGGGAGCUGGCAAGGAAUGGAUCAAACGGGUCAAGUGCGCAAGGAAAGCUCGAACGGACGCAAACUGGGCGAAUAGUAAUUUGGGUAAUUGCGUCGCCAUAAGAAUAUCGGUAAUGAAAGCAAGGAGUCGAAACGGGUCAUUAGGUUGACUCGAGCCAGGUGAAUGUCGAGAGUCCCGGAUGAAGAUCAAGCAUCGAACAAGAAC
rnacentral:lncRNA from 1 species